rnacentral:rRNA from 1 species
UUAUAAUUUAAUUUUUUUUAUUAGUUUUUUAUAUUUUUUAUUUAAUAAAUUUUAUUUUAUUUUUUUUUAGUAUUUUUGAAAUUAUUAUUUUAUUAUAGUUUAUUUUUAAUGUAGAUGAUUGUUUUUAAUAUAAAUUAAAAAUAUUCUUUUAUUGUACCUUUUGUAUCAGGGUGGAUUUAAUAACCUUUUUAUAUAAAUUUUUCUCGAAUUGUAAGGAUUUAUUUUAAUAUGCUAGUUUUGUUGUUACAUAAUUAUUGUUAAUAUUAAGAUGGGAGUGAUAUUCUAUUCGUUUUAUAAUAUAUCUAGUUUUCUAAGAUAAAAUUUAAUUUUAUGAAAGUUUUUAAUUUUGUUUUUUUUUACUUAAUUAUGGAUUUUUUUUUAUGGGCCAGGGGUUAAGCUCUGGUUUAAGUUAAUUAUAAUAUUAUUAUUUAUUUUUUUUAUAGGCUUGGAAUUAGCCAUUAUUUAAAGUGUGUUUUAUUUUAAUGAUAGUUGUUAAUUAUUUUUUAAAUUAUUUAAUUUUUAUAUUAGAAUAUUGAUUUGAUUUAUAUUUGUCAACUAAUAAUGAUUUAAUUAGUAUAUUUUUUUUGUUUAAUAUUAUAAUGAUUAUUAAUUUAUUAAAAGGAAUUUGGCAAAUUUUCUAUACCUCCGCCUGUUUAUCAAAAACAUCUUUUUUAGUUAUUUAUUUAAGAUAGGGCCUGCUCACUGAUAUAUUAAAGAGCCGCAGUAUUUUGACUGUGCAAAGGUAGCAUAAUCAUUAGUAUAUUAAUUGUAUUCUAGAAUGAAAGGUUUGACGAGGGGUAUACUGUCUCUUAAUAAUGAUUAGAAGUUUACUUUCUAGUAAGAAGGCUUGAAUUUAUUUUUUGGACGAUAAGACCCUAUAGAACUUUAUUUAUUAAAUUUAAAUUUUUUGGGUUAGUUUUAUGGAUUUAUUUUUUAUUAAUUUUGGUUGGGGCGAUUUGAAUAAUAUAUAAACUGUUCAUUUUGAUUUUCAUUUAUUUAUGUUAUUGAUGAUCUUGUAUUAUUGAUUUAAAGAUUAAGUUACCUUAGGGAUAACAGCACAAUUAUCUUUGAGAGUUCAUAUUGACAAGAUUAGUUUGUGACCUCGAUGUUGGAUUAAGGUUAUUAAUUGGGUGAAGGAGCUCAAUGAAUUGGUCUGUUCGACCAUUUAAAUCUUACAUGAUCUGAGUUCAAACCGGCGUGAGCCAGGUUGGUUUCUAUCCAAAAGUUUUUUUUAUUUUCUAGUACGAAAGGACCGUUAAUUUUGAUUGUUUCAUAAGUUUUGAAUAUUAAUA